AUUUUCUUCUUUCUUUCUUUCCUGAUCUUCUCUCUCUUGAUCUAAAAGGCGAAUCAAAGUCGAUUCAUCUGAAAACUGGAAAAUGAAUUGAUUCUUUGUUAUCGUCAUCUGGAUAGUCACAGAGGAACCCCAAAACCUAAAAAAUAGCUCUAAAGAGAGAGAUGGAAGGCAAAGAAGAAGAUGUUAGAGUCGGAGCAAACAAGUUUCCGGAGAGGCAACCGAUCGGAACAUCAGCUCAGAAUGACAAGGACUACAAGGAGCCACCACCUGCGCCCUUGUUCAAGCCAGGCGAGCUAGCUUCGUGGUCUUUCUGGAGAGCUGAAAUCGAUUGGCUCUUUUUUAGGUUUUGGGCUGGAGAGAUGGUCACUGCCUCACUGGCCUGGAGAAAUCACCGGACCUCCCUUCUUACUUCCUCCUUUGGUAUGUUUCUUCUUCUUCGUUUGUCCUUUGGUAAGCUUUUGGGACCAUAUCCUCCUAACUUUAAAUGAUAGAAAGGUUGAACGUUUACCUGUUACAAUCAGCUUUGAUUUUUUUUUUGUAUGUAGAUGAUUGGAAUCGAUUAUUGGUUUGGAACUUGCAGUUGCAGGUUAAAAUUGCAGGGAAUGUUUAGAGGGAUGUAGUAGAAUCACCCAAAGAUCCGUGGGAACAUGUGGUGGGUAUGGGACUUGGUGCUGUGUUCGCCAACCAGCUCGUCAAAUGGGAUGUGAAGCUUAAGGAAGAUCUCGAUGUGAUGCUCGCUAAGGCUAGAGCUGCCAAUGAGCGCCGUUACUUUGAUGAAGAUCGGGAUUAGUUAUUGGGUGACCUUUGAAGUCUUCAGAAAUCAAAAUAUCUUUCUCUGAAGUCAUCUUAAGUGCUUGUUCUGUUUGUUCUUCCCUGUUAAAGCUUCUCAUCUCCUUGUCUUUAGAGUUGAGAUCUCUUUUGCUUCGGCACUGGAGUGCUUUUUCAUUCAAUGUUUUUGAUUAUGAACCUAAAGAUUUGUGUUUUCACAAUCUGAGUCUGUUUGUACCUGGUUAAUAAUGGUGAAUGAUAAACCUUGCAAUCAUUUUAUCUU